rnacentral:rRNA from 1 species
UUUGGUAAGUUAGAAAGCGCGCACGGUGGAUGCCUUGACAACUAGGAGUCGAUGAAGGACGCGGACUACGCCGAUAUGCUUCGGGAGGCUGUAAGUAAGCUUGAUCCGAAAUUCCGAAGGGGGAAAACCCACCAUACGUAAUGGUUAGGAUCCUUAUCUGAAUACAUAGGGUAAGGAAGACAGACCCAGGACUGAAAAACAUCUAAGCCUGGAGGAAGAGAAAGCAAAUGCGAGUUCCUGAGUAGCGGCGAGGCGAAACGGAACAUGCCCAAACCAAUGAGGCUUGCCUCUUGGGCGUUGUGGAACAUUCUAUACGGGGAGUUACAAAGACGAGGUAAGACGAAGCGACCUGAAAGGUCCGGCGUAGAGGUAACAACCCCCGGUAGGUCGAAACUCUUCUCUCAUUGAAAUGUAUCCUGAGACGGCGGAAACACGUGAAAUUUCCGUCGGAUCUGGAGGGAAACCCAUCUCCAGGCUAAAUUACUCCUAGUGAAUCGAUAGUGACUCAGUACCGUGAGGGAAAGGUGAAAAGACCCCCGGGAAGGGGAGUGAAAGAGAUCCUGAAACGUGUGUGCCUAAAAUAGUCAGAGCCGUUAACGGGUGAGGGCCACGUGCCUUUUGGAGAAUGAACCGCGAGUUACGAUCCCGUGCGAGGUUAAGCUGAAGAGGCGGAGCCGCAGCGAAAGCGAGUCUGAAUAGGGCGCGUUAGUACUGUACCGUGAACCCGAAAAACCAGGUGAUACUACCAUGUCCAGGUGAAGUCAGUAACACUGAAUGAGGCCCGAACCCACGCCACGUUGAAAAAGUGCGGGGAUGAGGUGUGGGUAGCGGAGAAUAUCAAUCGAACCUGGAGAUAGCUGGUUCUUUCCCCGAAAUAGCUUGAGGGCUAGCCUUAAGUGUAAGAGUCUUGGAGGUUAGAGCACUGGAUUGGACUAGGGGGUCCUCAUCCGGAUUACCGAAGUUCAGUCAAACUCCGGCAAUGCCAAUGACUUAUUUUAGGGUCAAGACUGCCGAGUGAUUGAAGAUCCGUUAGUCAAAAGGAAACAGCCCAGACCGCCAGGCUAAGCUCCCAAAGUGUGUAGUAAGUUGGGAAAAGGUGUGAGAGUUGCUUAGAAACUAGGAGUGGCUUAGAAGCAGCCACCAUUAAAGAGUGCGAAUGCUCACUAGUCGAGUGACUCUUGCGCCGAAAAUUACCGGGGCUAAUACACCACCGAAGCUUGCGGAUUGAUAACCAAAUGGGUAUCAGUGGUAGGGGAGCGUUCUAAGGACAGUGAAGUCAACCGUAAGGACUGGUGGAGUGCUUAGAAGUGAGAAUGCCGGUAAUGAGUAGCGAAAGACGGUGUGAGAAAUCCCGUUCCACCGGAAUGGCCUAGGUGUUCCUGGAGGAAGGCUCGUCCGCUCAGGUUGUCAGACCUAAGCCGAGGCCGACAGGCGUAGGCCGAUGGACAACAGGUGAUAUUCGCUGUACCACCUCUUUUCGUUGAGCAAUGGAGGGGACGCAGAAGGAUAGAAGAAGCGUGCGAUUGGUUGUGCACGUUCCAAGCAGUUAGGCUAUAGUAGGCAAAUCCGCUUAGCAUAAAGGCCUGAGCUGUGAUGGGAAGCUCCUUAGGGAGCGAAGUCUUUGAUUCCCCGCUCCAAGAAAAGCUUCAGCGAGAUAAAAGGUGCCUGGACCGCAAAAACGGACACAGGUAGGCGAGGAGAGAAUCCUAAGUGUUGGGAGAAGAACUCUGGUUAGGAACUCGGCAAAAUGACCCCGUAACUUCGGCCGAGAAGGGGUGCUUUCUUACGAAAGCGCAGUGAAUAGGCCAAGCGACUGUUUCUGCAAAACACAGCUCUCUGCCUAAGCCGUUUAAGGCGAAGUAUAGGGGUGACACCUGCCCGGUGGCUGGAGGUUAAGGAGGGGGUUAGCGUAAGCGAAGCUCGGAACUGAAGCCCAGUAACGGCGGCCCGUAACCAUAACCGGUCCUAAGGGUUAAAGCGAAAUUCCUUGUCGGGUAACGUCCGACCGGCAGAAAGGUGUAACGAUGUUGGGCACUGUUCUCAACCAGAGACUCGGUGAAAUUAUUAGUACCUGUGAAGAUGCGGUUACCCCGACAGGACCCGGAAAACCCGUGGACUUUACUGUAGCCUUGGAUAUUGAAUUUUGGUACAGUUUUACAGGAUAGGCGGGGAGCCAUUGAAACCGGAGCGCUAGCUUUGGUGGAGGCGCUUGUGGAGACCGCCCUGACGUAUGAAAUUCUAACCUACGGGUCUUAUCGACCCGGAGACAGUGUCGGUGGGCAGCAGUUUGACUGGGGCGUCGCUCCUAAAGUGUAACGGACGGCGCCAAAAGGUUCCCUCAGAAUGGUUGAAAAUCAUUCGUAGAGUGCAAAGGCAUAAGGGAGCUGACUGCCGAACCUACAAGUCGAGCAGGGCGAAAGGCGGGCUCUUAGUGAUCCGGUGGUUCCGCAUGAAGGGCCAGCGCUCAACGGAUAAAAAGCUACCCCGGGGAUAACAGGCUUAUCGCCCCCAAGAGUCCACAUCGACGGGGAGUUUGCACCUCGAUGUCGGCUCAGCGGCAUCCUGGGGCUGUAGUCGGUCCAAGGGUUGGGCUUUCCGCCCAUUAAGCGGUUACGCGAGCUGGGCUUCAGAACGUCGUGAAGACAGGUUCGGUCCCAUCCGUCGUGCGUAGGAAAUUGAGAGAGCUGUCCCUUAGUACGAGAGGGACCGGGAUGGAACGCACCGCUGGUGUACCCAGGUGUUCUGCCAAGGGGCAAUAGCUGGGGCUAUGUGCGAAGGAUAAUUGCUGAAAGCAUCUAAGCAUGAAGCCCCCUCAAGAUGAGAGUUUCCCAUAGCGUAAGCUAUAAGAUCCCUGAAAGAUGAUCAGGGGAUAGGUUCGAGGUGAAGCAUGGUGACAUGAUGGAGCUGACGAAUACUAAUAGAUCGAGGACUUAACCAUA